CCUACGGGAGGCAGCAGUAGGGAAUCUUCCACAAUGGGCGAAAGCCUGAUGGAGCAACGCCGCGUGGGUGAAGAAGGUCUUCGGAUCGUAAAACCCUGUUGUUAGAGAAGAAAGUGCGUUAGAGUAACUGUUCACGUUUCGACGGUAUCUAACCAGAAAGCCACGGCUAACUACGUGCCAGCAGCCGCGGUAAUACGUAGGUGGCAAGCGUUAUCCGGAUUUAUUGGGCGUAAAGGUAACGCAGGCGGUCUUUUAAGUCUGAUGUGAAAGCCUUCGGCUUAACCGGAGUAGUGCAUUGGAAACUGGGAGACUGGAGUGCAGAAGAGGAGAGUGGAACUCCAUGUGUAGCGGUGAAAUGCGUAGAUAUAUGGAAGAACACCAGUGGCGAAGGCGGCUCUCUGGUCUGUAACUGACGCUGAGGUUCGAAAGCGUGGGUAGCAAACAGGAUUAGAUACCCGAGUAGUC
rnacentral:rRNA from 1 species